UACAGAGGGUGCAAGCGUUGUUCGGAAUUAUUGGGCGUAAAGAGCGUGUAGGCGGUUCGGUAAGUCUGUCGUGAAAUCCUGAGGCUCAACCUCGGGCGUGCGAUGGAUACUGCCGGGCUAGAGGGUGGUAGAGGCGAGUGGAAUUCCUGGUGUAGCGGUGAAAUGCGCAGAUAUCAGGAAGAACACCCGUGGCGAAGGCGGCUCUCUGGAACGCAACUCGACGCUGAGACGCGAAAGCGUGGGGAGCAAACAGG
rnacentral:rRNA from 1 species